rnacentral:rRNA from 1 species
AGAACGAACGCUGGCGGCAUGCCUAAUACAUGCAAGUCGAACGAACACUUCGGUGUUAGUGGCGCGCGGGUGCGUAACGCGUGGGAAUCUGCCCUUGGGUUCGGAAUAACAGUUGGAAACGACUGCUAAUACCGGAUGAUAUCGAAAGAUCAAAGAUUUAUCGCCCAGGGAUGAGCCCGCGUAGGAUUAGCUAGUUGGUGAGGUAAAGGCUCACCAAGGCGACGAUCCUUAGCUGGUCUGAGAGGAUGAUCAGCCACACUGGGACUGAGACACGGCCCAGACUCCUACGGGAGGCAGCAGUAGGGAAUAUUGGACAAUGGGCGCAAGCCUGAUCCAGCAAUGCCGCGUGAGUGAUGAAGGCCUUAGGGUUGUAAAGUCUCUUUUACCCGAGAUGAUAAUGACAGUAUCGGAGAAUAAGCCCCGGACUAACUCCGUGCCAGCAGCCGAC